CCUGGUUCGGUGUUGAACAGUAGGAGUCCUGGCUCCUUCAAGAUCAGAGCUCUCAGGUAGAGUCAGCCGUCCAGAGCCAUUGGUUUGGAAUCUUAUCUUUUCCUUAAUUUGAUGAACAUUCACCACCCCUCCUGCAAGAAACUGUUGACAUGCUGACGAGAAGAAAAAGAAGUCUCACAGUCAAAUGAUGUGAUUCCAGUUACAAGGAUCCACUUAAGCCAGCUUUUGAUGUCCUGUCUGCUCCCAGGCUAUCGGUUCAGGAAAUGCCGUGUGGUCUAUUCCCAUGAGGCAUUCUGACCAACUGGAUGGGACCUCACAGAGAAGGAUAGGUUGUUUCUGCUAAGGGAAUGGUUUCAAUUGUGAGAAAGCAGAAGCUUGAGAAUGUAUGGACUUGGUGAC
rnacentral:lncRNA from 1 species